rnacentral:rRNA from 1 species
UUCGUAGGGUGCGAGCGUUAAUCGGAAUUACUGGGCGUAAAGUGUGCGCAGGCGGCCGAGCAAGUCGAGUGUGAAAGCCCCGGGCUUAACUUGGGAAUUGCGCUCGAAACUACUUGGCUGGAGUGUGGCAGAGGAAGGUGGAAUUCCAGGUGUAGCGGUGAAAUGCGUAGAGAUCUGGAGGAACACCGAUGGCGAAGGCAGCCUUCUGGGCCAACACUGACGCUCAUGCACGAAAGCGUGGGGAGCAAACAGG